rnacentral:sRNA from 1 species
GCUAGGUACAGUGGUGCAUGCCUGUAAUCCCAGGCACUUGGGAGGCUGAGGCAAGAGGAUAGCAUGUUUGAAGCCAGGCUCAGCAACUUAGUGAGGCUUUAAGCAACUCAGUGAGACCCUGUCUCAA